UGGGGAAUCUUGCACAAUGGGCGAAAGCCUGAUGCAGCGACGCCGCGUGGGGGAUGAAGCUUUUCGGAGUGUAAACCCCUUUCGACUGGGACGAAUGCCUCGCAAGAGGAGUGACGGUACCAGUAUAAGAAGCCCCGGCUAACUACGUGCCAGCAGCCGCGGUAAGACGUAGGGGGCCAGCGUUGUUCGGAAUUACUGGGUGUAAAGGGUUCGUAGGCGGUGUGGCAAGUCGGGAGUGAAAUCUCUGGGCUCAACCCAGAGACUGCUUCCGAAACUGCUGUGCUUGAGUGUGAGAGAGGCUCGUGGAAUUGCAGGUGUAGCGGUGAAAUGCGUAGAUAUCUGCAGGAACACCCGUGGCGAAAGCGGCGAGCUGGAUCACUACUGACGCUGAGGAACGAAAGCUAGGGGAGCAAACAGGAUUAGAUACCCUGGUAGUCCUAGCCCUAAACGAUCAGGACUUGGGGUGCCGCCCGUUCGGGCGUCGUCCCGGAGCUAACGCGUUAAGUCCUGCACCUGGGGAGUACGGUCGCAAGACUG
rnacentral:rRNA from 1 species